GGGCGGUUNCCCGCCCGGACUCGGCGAGAAGUCCAUUGAACCUUAUCAUUUAGAGGAAGGAGAAGUCGUAACAAGGUUUCCGUAGGUGAACCUGCGGAAGGAUCAUUG
rnacentral:rRNA from 1 species